CAAUAUUGAAACACCGGUUCUCGUACGAUCACAGAAGUUAAGAAACGUCAAGCCUGGUUAGUAUCUAGAUGGGUGAUAGUUUAGGAAUACCAGCUACUGU